UACGGGGGGGGCAAGCGUUGUUCGGAAUUACUGGGCGUAAAGGGCUCGUAGGUGGCCAACUAAGUCAGACGUGAAAUCCUUCGGCUUAACCGGGGAACUGCGUCUGAUACUGGAUGGCUUGAGUUUGGGAGAGGGAUGCGGAAUUCCAGGUGUAGCGGUGAAAUGCGUAGAUAUCUGGAGGAACACCGGUGGCGAAGGCGGCAUCCUGGACCAACACUGACACUGAGGAGCGAAAGCCAGGGGAGCAAACGGG
rnacentral:rRNA from 1 species